UACGUAGGGUGCAAGCGUUAAUCGGAAUUACUGGGCGUAAAGCGUGCGCAGGCGGCUUUGCAAGACAGAUGUGAAAUCCCCGGGCUCAACCUGGGAACUGCAUUUGUGACUGCAAGGCUGGAGUGCGGUAGGGGAGUGGGGAAUUCCUGGUGUAGCGGUGAAAUGCGCAGAUAUCAGGAGGAACACCAAUAGCGAAGGCAGCUCGCUGGGACGGUACUGACGCUGAGGCGCGAAAGCGUGGGGAGCGAACAGG
rnacentral:rRNA from 1 species